GCGCCCGUAGCUCAGUCGGAUAGAGCACCAGCCUUCUAAGCUGGGGGUC
rnacentral:tRNA from 1 species